AGAGUUUGAUCAUGGCUCAGAUUGAACGCUGGCGGCAGGCCUAACACAUGCAAGUCGAACGGUAACAGGAAGCAGCUUGCUGCUUUGCUGACGAGUGGCGGACGGGUGAGUAAUGUCUGGGAAACUGCCUGAUGGAGGGGGAUAACUACUGGAAACGGUAGCUAAUACCGCAUAACGUCGCAAGACCAAAGAGGGGGACCUUAGGGCCUCUUGCCAUCGGAUGUGCCCAGAUGGGAUUAGCUAGUAGGUGGGGUAAAGGCUCACCUAGGCGACGAUCCCUAGCUGGUCUGAGAGGAUGACCAGCCACACUGGAACUGAGACACGGUCCAGACUCCUACGGGAGGCAGCAGUGGGGAAUAUUGCACAAUGGGCGCAAGCCUGAUGCAGCCAUGCCGCGUGUAUGAAGAAGGCCUUCGGGUUGUAAAGUACUUUCAGCUGGGAGGAAGGGAGUAAAGUUAAUACCUUUGCUCAUUGACGUUACCCGCAGAAGAAGCACCGGCUAACUCCGUGCCAGCAGCCGCGGUAAUACGGAGGGUGCAAGCGUUAAUCGGAAUUACUGGGCGUAAAGCGCACGCAGGCGGUUUGUUAAGUCAGAUGUGAAAUCCCCGGGCUCAACCUGGGAACUGCAUCUGAUACUGGCAAGCUUGAGUCUCGUAGAGGGGGGUAGAAUUCCAGGUGUAGCGGUGAAAUGCGUAGAGAUCUGGAGGAAUACCGGUGGCGAAGGCGGCCCCCUGGACGAAGACUGACGCUCAGGUGCGAAAGCGUGGGGAGCAAACAGGAUUAGAUACCCUGGUAGUCCACGCCGUAAACGAUGUCGACUUGGAGGUUGUGCCCUUGAGGCGUGGCUUCCGGAGCUAACGCGUUAAGUCGACCGCCUGGGGAGUACGGCCGCAAGGUUAAAACUCAAAUGAAUUGACGGGGGCCCGCACAAGCGGUGGAGCAUGUGGUUUAAUUCGAUGCAACGCGAAGAACCUUACCUGGUCUUGACAUCCACGGAAGUUUUCAGAGAUGAGAAUGUGCCUUCGGGAACCGUGAGACAGGUGCUGCAUGGCUGUCGUCAGCUCGUGUUGUGAAAUGUUGGGUUAAGUCCCGCAACGAGCGCAACCCUUAUCCUUUGUUGCCAGCGGUCCGGCCGGGAACUCAAAGGAGACUGCCAGUGAUAAACUGGAGGAAGGUGGGGAUGACGUCAAGUCAUCAUGGCCCUUACGACCAGGGCUACACACGUGCUACAAUGGCGCAUACAAAGAGAAGCUACCUCGCGAGAGCAAGCGGACCUCAUAAAGUGCGUCGUAGUCCGGAUUGGAGUCUGCAACUCGACUCCAUGAAGUCGGAAUCGCUAGUAAUCGUGGAUCAGAAUGCCACGGUGAAUACGUUCCCGGGCCUUGUACACACCGCCCGUCACACCAUGGGAGUGGGUUGCAAAAGAAGUAGGUAGCUUAACCUUCGGGAGGGCGCUUACCACUUUGUGAUUCAUGACUGGGGUGAAGUCGUAACAAGGUAACCGUAGGGGAACCUGCGGUUG
rnacentral:rRNA from 1 species